rnacentral:rRNA from 1 species
GAUGAACGCUGGCGGCGUGCCUAAUACAUGCAAGUCGAGCGAACAGACGAGGAGCUUGCUUCUCUGACGUUAGCGGCGGACGGGUGAGUAACACGUGGAUAACCUACCUAUAAGACUGGGAUAACUUCGGGAAACCGGAGCUAAUACCGGAUAAUAUAUUGAACCGCAUGGUUCAAUAGUGAAAGACGGUUUUGCUGUCACUUAUAGAUGGAUCCGCGCCGCAUUAGCUAGUUGGUAAGGUAACGGCUUACCAAGGCAACGAUGCGUAGCCGACCUGAGAGGGUGCUCGCCCACACGGGAAGUGAGACACGGCCCAGACUCCUACGGGAGGCAGCAGGAGGGAUUCUUCCACAAGGGGCGAAAGCCUGACGGAGCACCGCGGUGUGAUGGAUGAAGGUCUUGGGUUCGAAAAACUCUUUUAUUGGGGAAAAAAAAUUGUGUAAGUAACUAUGCCCUUCUGGAGGUUACCUAAUAAAAAACCCCCGGCUAACUACGUC